GAACAAUGCAGUCAAGAAAAUAACAUCCAGGUUUUCAAAGAAGAGAAAAAAAAGAAAAAGACAAAUGAAAGGGUUUCUCUUUAUCAGUAACUUUGUCUAUAAGAAACAUGGAUAGACUGUAGUUUGAAUCCAAGAGGCUCCCAGACCUCUUGCUGCUCCUCACCAGGCUUUAUGCUACACUGUGUGGUAGGAGACAAGGAGCCCAGCAGGUAACUGAACUAAUGGUCACACGAUGACAGGAGACGGCGCUUCUCCCUCUUAUGGAGAUUGCGUAGUGAGACGACUGUCGCUAGCUCUCAUCCAGCUGAGCAAAAGACACAAUUCAUGCAUGUGACAUUUCUAGCUCAUACACCUAUAGACGCUAUGCAAGAAAGCUGGAAACCUUUCAUCUUUUGUUGUUAUCAUCGCUAUCGUGUGCCAGGUGUUCGGUUCAGCCAGAGUGGAAGAAAAUUGACGCUUUUAGCUCCCUGUGUGUUUAGCCGCUACCAAUAAAACGAGAG